rnacentral:lncRNA from 1 species
GCAGGACUGGUGGGCCAUGGGCACUGAUCCCUCCAACAGGAGGCCGGGGAGGAGCUCCUGCCAGAGGAGAAGGACAAAUAGAUGUUGGGUGAGGUGUGGAAGGGAGAGGAGGCCAGCCACAAUGUGGGCUUGUCCACAAUCUGCUGCUUGGAUACAGAGGUCAGCUGAGAGCUUCCAGGUGUGCAUCCAACGACCUGCCGUAACUUGCCAGACGCUUCUGAUCGGAGGUCCCUAGACCACAGCAAAGAACCAUUCUACACCCAAACACAUCUCUUUACAAAGCAGCUAUCACCUUGACUACUUCAGAGAGGUGGAGACGACUACUAUGAAUGCUAGCAACUGCUCUGAAGCCUUGUGAAGUAUGAGUCCAGGAAAUAAGACCCAGGAGGUCAGAGAUCCAAGCCUGUGGCCCCAUACCUUCCCCUUUUAUCAGAUGCACUGGCCACAGGCCAGCAUAGCAGGGUCAGGACCAACACACUGACCUUCUGAAUUAGCAGAGUCUAAGAGGCUCCGAAAGUGAUGGUUUUCUAGUAAAGAGAGUUCAGGAUCCUAACUAGAAGAGAAAAGAAAGGAAGAUCGCUCAUUUCCCCGGUUUUCAAGUUGUGAACUGACACCCUGUGACCUUCUUUGCUUUGAUGGUGUGUUUUAUCAGCACUUGGCUUUGAUGUCAUUAGAAAGACGAAUGGAACGCAGCCACUUACCUUGUAUUCAUGAUAAAAUGACAAACCUGUAGAAUGCACGAGGUCCAUUUGCCCAAAGCUUCAUGCUCCCAGUUAUGUGCUGUAGACCUGUGAACAGGCAGAAUUAAGGGGAGAGCUUAUAUUGAUGGCCACAGAAAGAGCCCGAGUACACUCUACACAGGUCAUAAUGGCGGCCACCUAGGAAAUGCCCUUGCUUUGAAUCAUCUCAUUCACCUUUCCACCAAAAGAGAAUUCUUCCCUUCCUAAGGCUUACCAUGUCUCUUUUGUGCAGCUCAAAAUCCUUUAGGACCAGUGUUAGGAGAAAUCAAUAGCAAUCAAUCUUUCUUUCUUUAUUCUUCAAAGAUGUUCUUCCAUAGCCCAGGCUGCUCUUGAGCUCCCAACUCCCUGUGUAGCUGAAGGUGACCUUGAACUCCUGAUACUCAUGCUUCCAUUCUUUGGGUGCUGGGUUUACAGGUGUGUGCCACCAUACUUCAGAAACACCAGACCUGUUUCUUGGGGCUUGGGGGAGGUGUUGGAUUCAUAAAUCCUCACAAAGUCAUGUGACAUAUACUGAUG